AACGAACGCUGGCGGCGCGUUUUAAGCAUGCAAGUCGAACGGUAGUACGGUGCUUGCACCGUAUGAGAGUGGCGAACGGGUGAGUAACACGUAGGUGAUUUACCUUUGGUUUGGGGAUAGCCUGUGGAAACACAGGGUAAUACCGAAUAAGGUUUUAAGUUUGAGGACUUAAGACGAAAGGCGCUAAGGCGCCGACUGGAGAUGAGCCUGCGGUCCGUUAGUUAGUUGGUGGGGUAAAGGCCUACCAAGGCGACGAUGGAUAGCCGGCCUGAGAGGGUGGCCGGCCACACUGGGACUGAGACACGGCCCAGACCCCUACGGGAGGCAGCAGCUAAGAAUCUUCCGCAAUGGGCGAAAGCCUGACGGAGCGACGCCGCGUGGACGAUGAAGGCCGGAAGGUUGUAAAGUCCUUUUCUUGAUGAAGAAUAAAGUUAAGAGGGAAUGCUUAGCCGAUGACGUUAGUCA
rnacentral:rRNA from 1 species